CUGGCUCAGGACGAACGCUGGCGGCACGCUUAACACAUGCAAGUCGAACGGAGUAAUUGAGAGCUUGCUUUGAUACUAGUGGCGGACGGGUGAGUAACACGUGAGCAACCUGCCUUUGAGAGUGGAAUAGCUUCUGGAAACGGAUGGUAAUACCGCAUAACAUUACGGGGCCGCAUGACCCUGUAAUCAAAGAUUUAUCGCUCAAAGAUGGGCUCGCGUCUGAUUAGGUAGUUGGUGAGGUAACGGCUCACCAAGCCGACGAUCAGUAGCCGGACUGAGAGGUUGAACGGCCACAUUGGGACUGAGACACGGCCCAGACUCCUACGGGAGGCAGCAGUGGGGAAUAUUGCACAAUGGGCGGAAGCCUGAUGCCAGCGGUGCCGCGUGGAGGAAGAAGGUUUUCGGAUUGUAAACUCCUGAUCUGAGGGACGAUAAUGACGGUACCUCAGGAGAAAGCUCCGGCUAACUACGUGCCAGCAGCCGC
rnacentral:rRNA from 1 species